GAAUUCGAUUAACGCGAAGAACCUUACCUGGCCUUGACAUCUGUCGAAUCCUGCAGAGAUGCGGGAGUGCCGCAAGGAACGACAAGACAGGUGCUGCAUGGCUGUCGUCAGCUCGUGUCGUGAGAUGUUGGGUUAAGUCCCGCAACGAGCGCAACCCUUGUCCCUAGUUGCCAGCACGUAAUGGUGGGAACUCUAGGGAGACUGCCGGUGACAAACCGGAGGAAGGUGGGGAUGACGUCAAGUCCUCAUGGCCCUUACGGCCAGGGCUACACACGUACUACAAUGGUCGGUACAGAGGGUUGCGAAGCCGCGAGGUGGAGCCAAUCCCAGAAAACCGAUCCCAGUCCGGAUCGGAGUCUGCAACUCGACUCCAUGAAGCCGGAAUCGCUAGUAAUGGCGCAUCAGCUACGGCGCCGUGAAUACGUUCCCGGGCCUUGUCACACCGAAUCACUA
rnacentral:rRNA from 1 species